CUUCCUGCAUGCUCAUACAUAAAAUAAAACAGCUACCAAAGGGCAUCUUUCUGGGGCUUCCCUGGUGGCGCAAGGGGUUAGGACGCAACCUAUGGACCUAUCCGCAGCCUCUGCAGCACGAAUUUGAUCCCAGCUGGCCAUGGAGAACAAUCUAAAACAGCUGCAACUCUACAUUUACACACAGAGAGGAACAGGAAGAUUCUUUCACAGGCUGAGGCAAUAGCACCUCUGCUGAUGGUUGCGGAGAUGACCUCAAGUUUCCAGUCUGGACAUCACUGGCCAAAGGAGCUUGAGAAAUGGAUUUUGGGAGUAAGGUGAGACCUGCUUGUUACCCCACUCCAGAUCCUGCAGACAGCAUCUUGGGAAAUCUGGUAGAAGUCAGCAAAGGAAUACUUCAGGGCAGAAUAAGUUGGGCCUUUAUUUCUCCCUGCUGCUUCCUGGGUAAUUGUUUGAAGGAUACUAUGAAGACUCUUUUUAAUUCCUUUCACUUUGAGAGACUGAAAUCCAAAUUUGUCUGACUUUUUGGGAACUUGUUUUCUAUGAAGACCAUUUGUUUCUUCCCUUCAACCAUGAAAGACUAUGGGGGAGAAUGUUCAGCAUUUGAGAUGGGAUGUGAUAAUGGACAAAAUUUUCUGAAUUGAAAUCAAGAUCUCAAAGAGAUAUCUGCACUCCCAUGUUCAUUGCAGCAUUAUUCACAAUGGCCAAGAUAUGGAAGCAACUGUUGAUGGAGAAAUGAGUGAGCAAAUGUGUUGUCUACAUCCCGUGGAAUAUUACUAAGCCUUAUUAAAGAAGGAAAUAUUGCUAUUUGCUACAGCUUGCAUGAACCUGGAGGGCACUAUGCUAAGUGAAAUAGGCCAG